rnacentral:rRNA from 1 species
AGGGUUUGAUUCUGGCUCAGGACGAACGCUGGCGGUGCGCCUUAUGCAUGCAAGUUGAGCGAAGCUUUUCAGUAGUUUACUACAGAAAAUGACUGAGCGGCGAACGGGUGAGUAACGCGUGAGCAAUCUACCUUAGUUACUGGGAUAGCCCGAGGAAACUCGGAUUAAUACCGGAUAUUCUUAUUUUUUCACAUGAAGUUUUAAGGAAAGGUCAGCCGAACUAAGAUGAGCUCGCGUUCUAUCAGCUAGUUGGUGGGGUAAAAGCCUACCAAGGCUACGACGGAUAGCUGGUCUGAGAGGACGAUCAGCCACACUGGGACUGAGACACGGCCCAGACUCCUACGGGAGGCUGCAGCAGGGAAUAUUGCGCAAUGAGCGAAAGCUUGACGCAGCGACACCGCGUGUGGGAUGACGGUUCUAGGAUUGUAAACCACUUUCAGGAGGGAAGAAAAUGACGGUACCUCCACAAGAAGACCCGGCCAACUACGUGCCAGCCGCCGCGA